rnacentral:rRNA from 1 species
GACGAACGCUGGCGGCGUGCUUAACACAUGCAAGUCGAACGGAAAGGCCCUGCUUUUGUGGGGUGCUCGAGUGGCGAACGUGUGAGUAACACGUGAGUAACCUGCCCUUUACUUUGGGAUAACUUCAGGAAACUGGGGCUAAUACCUGAUAGGAGCUCCUGCUGCAUGGUGGGGGUUGGAAAGUUUCGGCGGUUGGGGAUGGACUCGCGGCUUAUCAGCUUGUUGGUGGGGUAGUUGCUUACCAAGGCUUUGACGGGUAGCCGGACUGAGAGGGUGACCGGCCACAGUGGGACUGAGAUACGGCCCAGACUCCUACGGGAGGCAGCAGUGGGGAAUAUUGCACAAUGGGCGGAAGCCUGAGGCAGCAACGCCGCGUGCGGGAUGACGGCCUUCGGGUUGUAAACCGCUUUCGCCUGUGACGAAGCGUGAGUGACGGUAAUGGGUAAAGAAGCACCGGCUAACUACGUG